UCCUAGCCAGAGCAAUAAGGCAAGAAGAAGAAAUAAAAAUGAUACAUAGGACUACAGAUGCCUGGACCACCUGGAGCUGUUUACCAUAGUGCUUACACAUUAUUUCUUCAUGUGGUUUGUCCUUAACAUAUGGCAGCUCAAUUCCAAUAGUGAGUGUUCAAAGAAAUCUUCAUGGACCCUGUGAGGCUUCUGAUCUAGCUUGUGAAGUUCCAAAACAUCCUAACCUAUUCUAUUGAUUUGGAAGUCGGACAAGCACAAAAGGCCAGUUUUGUGGGAAAUUUACAAACUCUUAAGCUUAAAUUUGGAACCAGGAGUCAUUUGUAUCAAAAUUUGAU